rnacentral:rRNA from 1 species
CCUACGGGAGGCAGCAGUGAGGAAUAUUGGUCAAUGGCCGUAAGGCUGAACCAGCCAAGUCGCGUGAAGGAAGAAGGAUCUAUGGUUUGUAAACUUCUUUUAUAGGGGAAUAAAGGUAUCCACGUGUGGAUAUUUGCAUGUACCCUAUGAAUAAGCAUCGGCUAACUCCGUGCCAGCAGCCGCGGUAAUACGGAGGAUGCGAGCGUUAUCCGGAUUUAUUGGGUUUAAAGGGUGCGUAGGUGGUUUUUUAAGUCAGCGGUGAAAGUUUGUGGCUCAACCAUAAAAUUGCCGUUGAAACUGGAAGGCUUGAGUGUAGUUGAGGGAGGCGGAAUGCGUGGUGUAGCGGUGAAAUGCAGAGAUAUCACGCAGAACUCCGAUUGCGAAGGCAGCUUACUAGGCCAAAACUGGCACUGAAGCACGAAAGCGUGGGGAGCAAACAGGAUUAGAUACCCCAGUAGUC